AUUCCUGCUUUUAAUUUCUCUUUUUUUUUUUUCUUUUUUUUUCG
rnacentral:ribozyme from 1 species